rnacentral:rRNA from 1 species
AUGAACGCUGGCGGCGUGCCUAAUACAUGCAAGUCGAGCGAACAGACGAGGAGCUUGCUCCUCUGACGUUAGCGGCGGACGGGUGAGUAACACGUGGAUAACCUACCUAUAAGACUGGGAUAACUUCGGGAAACCGGAGCUAAUACCGGAUAAUAUAUUGAACCGCAUGGUUCAAUAGUGAAAGACGGUUUUGCUGUCACUUAUAGAUGGAUCCGCGCCGCAUUAGCUAGGUGGUAAGGUAACGGCUUACCAAGGCAACGAUGCGUAGCCGACCUGAGAGGGUGAUCGGCCACACUGGAACUGAGACACGGUCCAGACUCCUACGGGGAGCAGCAGUAGGGAAUCUUCCGCAAUGGGCGAAAGCUUGACGGAGCAAAGCCGCGUGAGUGAUGAAGGUCUUCGGAUCGUAAAACUCUGUUAUUAGGGAAGAACAAAUGUGUAAGUAACUAUGCACGUCUUGACGGUACCUAAUCAGAAAGCCACGGCUAACUACGUG